rnacentral:rRNA from 1 species
CCUACGGGUGGCAGCAGUCGAGAAUCAUUCACAAUGGGGGAAACCCUGAUGGUGCGACGCCGCGUGGGGGAAUGAAGGUCUUCGGAUUGUAAACCCCUGUCAUGUGGGAGCAAAUUAAAAAGAUAGUACCACAAGAGGAAGAGACGGCUAACUCUGUGCCAGCAGCCGCGGUAAUACAGAGGUCUCAAGCGGUGUUCGGAAUCACUGGGCGUAAAGCGUGCGUAGGCUGUUUCGUAAGUCGUGUGUGAAAGGCGCGGGCUCAACCCGCGGACGGCACAUGAUACUGCGAGACUAGAGUAAGGGAGGGGGAACCGGAAUUCUCGGUGUAGCAGUGAAAUGCGUAGAUAUCGAGAGGAACACUCGUGGCGAAGGCGGGUUCCUGGACAUUAACUGACGCUGAGGCACGAAGGCCAGGGGAGCGAAAGGGAUUAGAUACCCCGGUAGUC